rnacentral:siRNA from 1 species
UGAGAAAGUCGGCCAUUCGGU